UACGUAGGAGGCAAGCGUUGUCCGGAAUUACUGGGCGUAAAGCGCGUGUAGGUGGUGGGACAAGUCUGCUGUGAAAGCGCCUGGCUUAACCGGGCGAGGUCGGCGGAAACUGUCCGACUAGAGGACGGUAGAGGGGGGUGGAAUUCCCGGUGUAGUGGUGAAAUGCGUAGAGAUCGGGAGGAACACCUGUGGCGAAGGCGGCCCCCUGGGCCGGCCCUGACACUGAGACGCGAAGGCGGGGGGAGCGAACGGG
rnacentral:rRNA from 1 species